rnacentral:tRNA from 1 species
GCCGGCGUAGCUCAGUUGGUAGAGCAAGGGUUUCGUAAAUCCUCGGUCAGAGGUUCGAAUCCUCCCGCCGGCU